rnacentral:rRNA from 1 species
AUUGAACGCUGGCGGCAGGCCUAACACAUGCAAGUCGAGCGGAGAGGCGGACGGGUGAGUAAUGCCUAGGAAUCUGCCUGGUAGUGGGGGAUAACGUCCGGGAACGGGAGCUAAUACCGCAUACUAUCAGAUGAGCCUAGGGCGGAUUAGCUAGUUGGUGGGGUAAAGGCCUACCAAGGCGACGAUCCGUAACUGGUCUGAGAGGAUGAUCAGUCACACUGGAACUGAGACACGGUCCAGACUCCUACGGGAGGCAGCAGUGGGGAAUAUUCGACAAUGGGCGAAAGCCUGAUCCAGCCACGCCGCGUGUGUGAAGAAGGUUUUCGGAUUGUAAAGCACUGUUAUUUGGGAGGCGUUACCAACAGAAUAAGCACCGGCUAACUACGUGCCAGCAGCCGCGGUAAUAC